CGAAAACCUGUGAACACGUUUAAAAAUUGGCGUUGGGCGUCGGGUAAAACCUGCGCCCCUCGCCACCUGCGCCGAACGACACCAUACCGGGCUGUCGGUCGUGUCGGGCAACCGAAUAAAAAACGGCGCGGGAAGCGCCAAGGACUUUACGAAAUGGGAUGCCUUCUUGCGGAGAGGGCGUUCGCGGAUUCCUCGCCGUGGGGCUUGAGAGGCGCCUCAACGAAACAUACACGACUCUCGGCAACGGAUAUCUAGGCUCUCGCAUCGAUGAAGAACGUAGCAAACUGCGAUACUUGGUGUGAAUUGCAGAAUCCCGUGAACCAUCGAGUCUUUGAACGCAAGUUGCGCCCGAAGCCAUUAGGCCGAGGGCACGUCUGCCUGGGCGUCACGCAUCGCGUCGCCCCCCUACCUCACCCAAAGGUU
rnacentral:misc_RNA from 1 species